GAAUAUUGGACAAUGGGCGCAAGCCUGAUCCAGCAAUGCCGCGUGUGUGAAGAAGGCCUUCGGGUUGUAAAGCACUUUUAUCAGGAAAGAAAUCCGCUGGGUUAAUACCUUGGCGGGAUGACGGUACCUGAGGAAUAAGCACCGGCUAACUUCGUGCCAGCAGCCGCGGUAAUACGAAGGGUGCAAGCGUUAAUCGGAAUUACUGGGCGUAAAGCGCGCGUAGGUGGUUCAGUAAGUUGGAUGUGAAAUCCCCGGGCUCAACCUGGGAACUGCAUCCAAAACUGCUGAGCUAGAGUACGGUAGAGGGUGGUGGAAUUUCCUGUGUAGCGGUGAAAUGCGUAGAUAUAGGAAGGAACACCAGUGGCGAAGGCGACCACCUGGACUGAUACUGACACUGAGGUGCGAAAGCGUGGGGAGCAAACAGG
rnacentral:rRNA from 1 species